rnacentral:lncRNA from 12 species
AUGAGCAACGUCAAAAUGAGUCCCGUGUUCAAGAGUCACGCAGCGGCAGCGCAGAAGGAGCGUCUCCCGCCCGAAGGCGCUGGCUCUUCAGCAUAUGAUUCUCAUGCAGCACCUUGGACAGGGUUCGCAAGCUCCUUCCCGACACCCCUCACUAACUCUCUCCUACGGUCAAAAUGGUCCAAAGAAUCGCUAAACGGUUACCCCCCUGAAUACAACUCCACCAAGUCCACCGGGACGAAAAGAGAAACGUUAUUCGACACAGGACAUUUGUGCAAAAAGUGCAUCUCUCAUUUCAACGUCUUCAAAAGGGAAGCGUUAAAACAAGUAGCUGACGAAAAUCUUUCUACUAAAGAUCCCAAAGUCUUCAUUCAUCUUUAUGAGAGCAUGAAACCACCUGCUAGUACUGUAGAAGCCUGGGGCAACGCGGACGGACGCUGUGGCGUCUGCUUCACUCACUUUAGCCAGCUGAAGCAGGAGGCUAUCCGCACGAUCCUCACCCAGGACCGGGCCAUAUGGGCUCCACCUACCACUGCCAACAUCGCAUCCACAAGCCUAGACUCAGGCUCACAAACACUCCCCAGAACCUCAAGCCACCGAUCUGUUGUCUCAGACCCCCAUCAGAGGAAAAGCAAUGCAGCACCAGAUUACUGGAUUAAAGGACGUCAGCACUUGGAGGCCCUGUGGCCCCUGUCCUCAUGCAAAGGAAACAAUUCAAUGUCUCAAAAGGUAGGCACAUUUUUUUUAAUUAAAUUUUUGUAAUGUAUUUAUUGCUGUAUGUAUUGCUGUUGUUCACACUAACACUUCAGGUCUGAAGGGUUGGUUAAAACAAAAUUAAAAUUAUUUAAUCACCUUCAUGUCAUUCUAAC